UAGCGAAGCGAAAACGCAUUGGAUGGU
rnacentral:sRNA from 1 species